CAUGCAAGUCGAGGGGAAACGACAUCGAAAGCUUGCUUUUGAUGGGCGUCGACCGGCGCACGGGUGAGUAGCGCGUAUCCAACCUGCCCAUCACUUGGGGAUAACCUUGCGAAAGUAAGACUAAUACCCAAUGACGUCUCUAGAAGACAUCUGAAAGAGAUUAAAGAUUUAUCGGUGAUGGAUGGGGAUGCGUCUGAUUAGCUUGUUGGCGGGGUAACGGCCCACCAAGGCGACGAUCAGUAGGGGUUCUGAGAGGAAGGUCCCCCACAUUGGAACUGAGACACGGUCCAAACUCCUACGGGAGGCAGCAGUGAGGAAUAUUGGUCAAUGGACGAGAGUCUGAACCAGCCAAGUAGCGUGCAGGAUGACGGCCCUAUGGGUUGUAAACUGCUUUUAUAAGGGAAUAAAGUUAGUCUCGUGAGACUUUUUGCAUGUACCUUAUGAAUAAGGACCGGCUAAUUCCGUGCCAGCAGCCGCGGUAAUACGGAAGGUCCGGGCGUUAUCCGGAUUUAUUGGGUUUAAAGGGAGCGUAGGCCGGAGAUUAAGCGUGUUGUGAAAUGUAGACGCUCAACGUCUGCACUGCAGCGCGAACUGGUUUCCUUGAGUACGCACAAAGUGGGCGGAAUUCGUGGUGUAGCGGUGAAAUGCUUAGAUAUCACGAAGAACUCCGAUUGCGAAGGCAGCUCACUGGAGCGCAACUGACGCUGAAGCUCGAAAGUGCGGGUAUCGAACAGGAUUAGAUACCCUGGUAGUCCGCACGGUAAACGAUGGAUGCCCGCUGUUGGUCUGAAUAGGUCAGCGGCCAAGCGAAAGCAUUAAGCAUCCC
rnacentral:rRNA from 1 species